UACGUAGGGUGCAAGCGUUGUCCGGAAUUAUUGGGCGUAAAGAGCUCGUAGGCGGUUUGUCGCGUCGAAUGUGAAAACCCGGGGCUCAACCCCCGGGCCUGCAUUCGAUACGGGCAGACUAGAGUGUGGUAGGGGAGACUGGAAUUCCUGGUGUAGCGGUGGAAUGCGCAGAUAUCAGGAGGAACACCGAUGGCGAAGGCAGGUCUCUGGGCCAUUACUGACACUGAGAAGCGAAAGCAUGGGGAGCGAACAGG
rnacentral:rRNA from 1 species